GACGAACGCUGGCGGCGUGCUUAACACAUGCAAGUCGAACGGAAAGGCCUCUUUCGGGGGGUACUCGAGUGGCGAACGGGUGAGUAACACGUGAGUAACCUGCCCUUGACUUUGGGAUAACUUCAGGAAACUGGGGCUAAUACCGGAUAGGAGCUCCUGCUGCAUGGUGGGGGUUGGAAAGUUUCGGCGGUUGGGGAUGGACUCGCGGCUUAUCAGCUUGUUGGUGGGGUAGUGGCUUACCAAGGCUUUGACGGGUAGCCGGCCUGAGAGGGUGACCGGCCAGAUUGGGACUGAAUUACGGCCCGGGUGCAGACGUGAGGCAGCCGCGGGGAGUACUGGACGAUGGGUGGAGGGUUGAUGCAGACAUGCCGUGGUGGGGAAGCCGGGCUUGGGGUUGUAAACCACAUUAGCUCCUGACAACGCUGUGCGUGACGGUAGUGGGUAAAGAAGCAACGGCUAACUACGUG
rnacentral:rRNA from 1 species